ACUCACAUGAGAGAAACCAAAAACCCAUGUUGUCACCAAUCCAUGACAUGCUAUGAUAAUAAUCCUAUCUCCUCCAUUACUUAAUUCUUAACAUAUAGUAUGUGCUUAACAAUUAUAAAAAAAAAGGCUGCGACUGUUCUAAUUAUUUGGGAACGUGAAUCCCAUUUUUUCAGCCGCCACAAAACUUCCUAAUGGUUAAUUAGGCUUGACCCUUUCUAUUAGGUUCUUAUCUUUUUUCUCAAAGGACUUAACACUUAUAUAGCAAAGGAGAAUAACUAAUGCUACAUAAUAGGAACACAUGCUUAACUUUUUCUACUACUCUUCCUAUUAUUAUAUUUAUACUCAAAAUACACAUUAGUAUAUAAUACUAUAAUACAUACUAAUAUGUUCUAUUACCCGAUGUGGGACUCCAACAUUUUAUUUUCAAUUCACACAAUAUUAUGCUCUUGUUCCAACAAUCCCCCACUUGAAUUUAAAAGAAAAUUCCAAAAUAGCGUAGAACGCUUCUAUAAGAUUGUGCAUAAGCAAAGGUGACGCUUGUCUUGAACCUUCACAUAGCAAGUAAGAGCCCGAUUUAACAAGAGUGACGCUUGUCUUGAACUCUAUCUCAGAUUUUUCUNNNNNNNNNNNNNNNNNNNNGCUUCAGGAUUCAUGCUUCUUAACUUGCAUGAUCAUUUCCUACCACUCACAACUUGUUGUUUACCCAUUGGAACCUAAUUCUUGGGAUCUCCAGUCUUUUAGGUUGGGUUACCGUUAUGAGCAAUUCAUAGACAUUAGUCUCAUCUUCUUUGAUGUAUUAUGGACUUCAUUUUUAGCUAUUCCUUUCGUCAAAGGAUCUGCUAAACUUUCAUCAGUGUGUACAUGACCCAUUCUUACAGCUCUCUUAGAGAGUAACUUUCUCUCUAUGUUGUGCUUUCUUCUUAUUUGACGUCUCUUACCGUUAUAAUAACGGUUCUCAAUUUAUGCAAUAGCCGCGGUACUAUCGCAAUGGAUCAACACAUCUGGCAUAGAUUAUUCCAUAAAGGAAUCUCAACUAGCAAGUAUCUUAACCAUCUUGCUUCUUCACUAGCAGUCGCUAAUGCUAUCAUUUCAG
rnacentral:lncRNA from 1 species